AGCGAACGCUGGCGGCAGGCCUAACACAUGCAAGUCGAACGGAGCCUUCGGGCUUAGUGGCGGACGGGUGAGUAACACGUGGGAACGUACCUUUUGGUUCGGAACAACUCAGGGAAACUUGAGCUAAUACCGGAUGAGCCCUUAGGGGGAAAGAUUUAUCGCCGAAAGAGCGGCCCGCGUUAGAUUAGCUAGUUGGUGAGGUAAAGGCUCACCAAGGCAACGAUCUAUAGCUGGUCUGAGAGGAUGAUCAGCCACACUGGGACUGAGACACGGCCCAGACUCCUACGGGAGGCAGCAGUGGGGAAUCCUGCGCAAUGGGCGAAAGCCUGACGCAGCCAUGCCGCGUGAAUGAUGAAGGUCUUAGGAUUGUAAAAUUCUUUUACCAGGGACGAUAAUGACGGUACCUGGAGAAAAAGCCCCGGCUAACUUCGUGCCAGCCGCCGCCGUAAAAC
rnacentral:rRNA from 1 species